rnacentral:misc_RNA from 1 species
UUUCCGUAGGUGAACCUGCGGAAGGAUCAUUAUUGUAUAACCGAGGAGCGAGGGCUGUCGCUGACCCGAAAGGCUUUGCACCCACGAGUGCCUUCACACACUUCCAUCUCACCCCUAUGUGCACUACCGCGUGGAUCCUCUGUUGGAUUGUUCGGAUGAGGGAUUACAUUUACAAUCCAACUUUGAAUGCAGGGUCGCAUGUAUUUUUUGUCUUUGCGAACACGCACUGAAUACAACUUUCAACAACGGAACUCCUGGCACUCGUAUCCAUGAAGAAUG